CAGGUCCCAGUCUUCCUAAUGAGGCAUUGAAAGUCUAGGUGGAAUAGAUGCUUGCUGGAGCCUGUGGAUAUUAUAAAAGAAAGAGCUCACUGCCUUAAAGUGGUCAGGAGAGGCAGGAGUGAGAGCCAAUGUGAAGGUGUGGGAGUUGGAAGGAACUUGGAACUCAACUUCUUUUGGCCCCUCAACUUGAGAUUCACAAAGAAAAAAAGCAAUGUCUCCUCGCUGAAAGCAAAAUGGAAGCUCCUCCUUGCACAGUGCAGCCCCUUCCUCACUGUAGGUUAUUCCAAGUGAGAAGAGUAAACAUGACUUCCAAAUGCCGUCUAACGAUAUAUGCAUAUCUAAAGGAGACAAGGAUGACUGAAUGCAUCUUCAUGUGUAGGAAGUGAAGUGUCUGUUGACAUUAAGUACUUCUUCAUGAGUGAGAGGAGGCCCAUGAUGGAGAUGACACCAGUACCUCCUUCUAGCACUCUGAAUUCCCAAUGUUUACUACUGCUGUCUCUGAAACUGCAGCAUCCUCACCAGGACCACACAGGGAACAAAGGCAAGACACCUGAAAUCCCUUUAGCCAUAUUCACAACAC
rnacentral:lncRNA from 1 species